rnacentral:rRNA from 1 species
GGUGGUGCAUGGCCGUUCUUAGUUCGUGGAUCGAUUUGUCUGGUUUAUUCCGAUAACGAGCGAGACUCUAGCCUACUAAAUAGUAACGAGAUUAUCAUUGUCUCAGUUGCUUCUUAGAGGGAUUUUCGGUGUUUAGCCGCACGAGAUUGAGCAAUAACAGGUCUGUGAUGCCCUUAGAUGUCCGGGGCUGCACGCGCGCUACACUGGCGAAAUCAGCGUGCUGUAUCCAUUCUCGAAAGGGAUUGGUAAACCCAUGAAAAUUUGCCGUGCUUGGGAUCGGAAAUUGCAAUUAUUUUCCGUGAACGAGGAAUUCCAAGUAAGUGCGAGUCAUCAACUCGCUCUGAUUACGUCCCUGCCCUUUGUA